GAUGCUGCGAGACUAAAUAUUUGAUUUCUGGUUCGAUUUUCGUAAGGAACAAACAAUGGUCUCCUCUUUCGGUGAUAUUCAGACGGUUUCUCUGUCUGCUCAUAUGAUUAACAGCACUAAAGCCUGAUUCUACAAGAUAUGUGGUAGGGAAAGUUAUCAAUAAAUUGAACAUCAUUUUCCAUAUAUUUGUAUAUAACGCAGGCAUUUUUUUUUUUCAGAGUUUUUAGUAUCCAC